CUGCGGAAGGAUCAUUAUUGAAUGAAACUUCUGGCUGGAUGCUGUUGUGCUGGCCCUUUGUGGCAAUGUGCACGCAUGCUUUCUGGUCAUUUGUUUCUUCUGUUCCACCUGUGCACUGACUGUAGACACAGUGUGUCUAUGAUAAUUGGUUACACACACACACAAUGUUAUGUUGGCAUAUAUAUAUAUUAAUUAUAUAAAUACAACUUUCAACAAUGGAUCUCUUGGCUCUCGCAUCGAUGAAGAACACAGCGAAAUGUGAUAAGUAAUGUGAAUUGCAGAAUCCAGUGAAUCAUCGAAUCUUUGAACGCAUCUUGCGCUCCUUGGCAUUCCGAGGAGCAUGCCUGUUUGAGUGUCAKUAAACUAUCAAAACACUUUUUUUCAAGUAAGAAAAGUGUUUUGGACUUUGGGAGUAUUGUGCUGGUCUGUGUGAGCCAGCUCUCCUCAAAAGCAUUAGCUUUGGAGACCAUCAGUGUGAUAAUUUGUUUACACUGGCUUCUCCUUUUAAAUGCAACCUUUGACCUCAAAUCAGGUAGGACUACCCGCUGAACUUAAGCAUAUCAAUAAGCGGAGGAAAAGAAACUAACAAGGAUUCCCCUAGUAACUGCGAGUGAAGCGGGAAAAGCUCAAAUUUGAAAUCUGGCAGUCUUUUUUUUCUUCUUUGGCUGUCCGAGU
rnacentral:rRNA from 1 species